rnacentral:lncRNA from 1 species
CACAGUCCAAUAACACCAGCAUAAACACGUAACAGUCCAAUAACACCAGCAUAAACACGUAACAGUCCAAUAACACCAGCAUAAACACGUAACAGUCCAAUAACACCAGCAUAAACACGUAACACCACAGUCCAAUAACACCAGCAUAAACACGUAACACAGUCCAAUAACACCAGCAUAAACAGGUAACACAGUCCAAUAACACCAGCAUAAACAUGUAACACAGUCCAAUAACACCAGCAUAAACACGUAACACCACAGUCCAAUAACACCAGCAUAAACACGUAACACAGUCCAAUAACACCAGCAUAAACAUGUAACAACACAGUCCAAUAACACCAGCAUAAACAGGUAACACAGUCCAAUAACACCAGCAUAAACAUGUAACAACACAGUCCAAUAACACCAGCAUAAACAUGUAACAACACAGUCCAAUAACACCAGCAUAAACACGUAACAACACAGUCCAAUAACACCAGCAUAAACAUGUAACACAGUCCAAUAACACCAGCAUAAACAGGUAACACAGUCCAAUAACACCAGCAUAAACAUGUAACACAGUCCAAUAACACCAGCAUAAAGAAAAUAGCCCAUAAAGUACCCUCCUUCCAAACACAACCUUACUUGACUUCAGAAAUACACUCAUUAUGCCAGUAGGACAUGCUGAGAAUGAUAAACACAAUACCCACUGACACACACGAUGCAGGAAUGCACACACACACACACACACACACACACACACACAAACACACA